rnacentral:rRNA from 1 species
AACGAACGCUGGCGGCAUGCCUAACACAUGCAAGUCGAACGAGACCUUCGGGUCUAGUGGCGCACGGGUGCGUAACGCGUGGGAACCUGCCCUUAGGUUCGGAAUAACUCCCCGCAAGGGGUGCUCAUACCGGAUACUGUCUUCGGACCAAAGAUUUAUCGCCUAUGGAUGGGCCUGCGUUGGAUUAGCUAGUUGGUAGGGUAAAAGCCUACCAAGGCGACGAUCCAUAGCUGGUCUGAGAGGAUGAUCAGCCACACUGGGACUGAGACACGGCCCAGACUCCUACGGGAGGCAGCAGUGGGGAAUAUUGGACAAUGGGCGAAAGCCUGAUCCAGCAAUGCCGCGUGAGUUAUGAAGGCCUUAGGGUUGUAAAGCUCUUUUACCCGGGAUGAUAAUGACAGUACCGGGAGAAUAAGCUCCGGCUAACUCCGUG